AUUGAACGCUGGCGGCAUGCUUUACACAUGCAAGUCGAACGGUAACAGCACUUCGGUGGCUGACGAGUGGCGAACGGGUGAGUAAUACAUCGGAACGUGCCUAGUAGUGGGGGAUAACUACUCGAAAGAGUAGCUAAUACCGCAUGAGAUCUAAGGAUGAAAGCAGGGGACCUUCGGGCCUUGCGCUACUAGAGCGGCUGAUGGCAGAUUAGGUAGUUGGUGGGAUAAAAGCUUACCAAGCCGACGAUCUGUAGCUGGUCUGAGAGGACGACCAGCCACACGGGGACUGAGACACGGCCCAGACUCCUACGGGAGGCAGCAGUGGGGAAUUUUGGACAAGGGGCGCAAGCCUGAUCCAGCAAUGCCGCGUGCAGGAUGAAGGCCUUCGGGUUGUAAACUGCUUUUGUACGGAACGAAAAGCCCUCUUCUAAUACAGGAGGGUCAUGACGGUACCGUAAGAAUAAGCACCGGCUAACUACGUG
rnacentral:rRNA from 1 species